ensembl:lncRNA
UCAACCAGGGGCGGAGCGUGGGGGUGGCUUACUGGGCUUAAGCCCGGGUUGUUUUUUCAGAAGCCCGGGGUCUUUUGGAGUGUCAUUUUUUCAUAGUUGGAUGCCUGGCUGACAACUGUAUAAAACAAAAAACUACACACAAUAUUCGAAGCACGUAGUGCACACUGUGGGAAUUUACGACUGUGCGUAAAUCCCCCCUAAUAUUGGUAUGAUCCGAGCUCAGGCACUAAGCGACUGAGCGAGGGGGCGGGGCAGCUGCUGCCUGCGAGUGCGCUGAGAGAAACGGAGCCAGCCAGACAGAGGAGAACUGAAGUUUGAGCAGCUGUUUCGCAGGCCUGUGAGGGAGAGUCAGCUCCCCUGUCUGUGACCUGUCUGUGACCUGUCUGUGACCUGUCUGUGGGCUCAGGGGUGGUGAAACUCAGUGUGCUGCUCUCUGUUCUUGGCACUGAAACAAAGACCUCCAGAGGAACCACGCCUGGCGAGCAGCCCAAAGGAAUAAGUGCAGAGACCCAAAAGGAAUUUGUAUCAGCUCAGUUUCAGUUUCACAAAAGAGAUCAACGUCAUGACUCACACUGUGUUCACUGAACCAGUGGAGUGUAGGAGGGCUCAGAGGAUGUAACCACACACAGGCUGACUGAGGAACCAGGAAUAAACUGCUUCACUGAACCUCUGCAGAGCAGGUUUUUAUGUUAACAAUCACAACACAAUUUAUUGACUUAAAAAAUAUGAAAUUGUUUUAAACAUGACUAAAU